rnacentral:tRNA from 1 species
GCGGGGAUGCCGGAGCGGCCAAACGGGAUAUCAAGUUUGGUAAAGUAACGAAGCCCAAAAGGCUGAUGAUCUAUUGGCUUAGUGCCUUCGCAGGUUCGAAUCCUGCUCCCCGCA